CUGAGGCGUGAYGACGAGGCACUACGGUGCUGAAGCAACAAAUGCCCUGCUUCCAGGAAAAGCCUCUAAGCAUCAGGUAACAUCAAAUCGUACCCCAAACCGACACAGGUGGUCAGGUAGAGAAUACCAAGGCGCUUGAGAGAACUCGGGUGAAGGAACUAGGCAAAAUGGUGCCGUAACUUCGGGAGAAGGCACGCUGACACGUAGGUGAAGUGAUUUACUCAYGGAGCUGAAGUCAGUCGAAGAUACCAGCUGGCUGCAACUGUUUAUUAAAAACACAGCACUGUGCAAACACGAAAGUGGACGUAUACGGUGUGACGCCUGCCCGGUGCCGGAAGGUUAAUUGAUGGGGUCAGCGCAAGCGAAGCUCCUGAUCGAAGCCCCGGUAAACGGCGGCCGUAACUAUAACGGUCCUAAGGUAGCGAAAUUCCUUGUCGGGUAAGUUCCGACCUGCACGAAUGGCGUAAUGAUGGCCAGGCUGUCUCCACCCGAGACUCAGUGAAAUUGAACUCGCUGUGAAGAUGCAGUGUACCCGCGGCAAGACGGAAAGACCCCGUGAACCUUUACUAUAGCUUGACACUGAACAUUGAGCCUUGAUGUGUAGGAUAGGUGGGAGGCUUUGAAGUGUGGACGCCAGUCUGCAUGGAGCCGACCUUGAAAUACCACCCUUUAAUGUUUGAUGUUCUAACGUGGACCCGUWAYCCGGGUUGCGGACAGUGUCUGGUGGGUAGUUUGACUGGGGCGGUCUCCUCCUAAAGAGUAACGGAGGAGCACGAAGGUUGGCUAAUCCUGGUCGGACAUCAGGAGGUUAGUGCAAUGGCAUAAGCCAGCUUGACUGCGAGCGUGACGGCGCGAGCAGGUGCGAAAGCAGGUCAUAGUGAUCCGGUGGUUCUGAAUGGAAGGGCCAUCGCUCAACGGAUAAAAGGUACUCCGGGGAUAACAGGCUGAUACCGCCCAAGAGUUCAUAUCGACGGCGGUGUUUGGCACCUCGAUGUCGGCUCAUCACAUCCUGGGGCUGAAGUAGGUCCCAAGGGUAUGGCUGUUCGCCAUUUAAAGUGGUACGCGAGCUGGGUUUAGAACGUCGUGAGACAGUUCGGUCCCUAUCUGCCGUGGGCGCUGGAGAACUGAGGGGGGCUGCUCCUAGUACGAGAGGACCGGAGUGGACGCAUCACUGGUGUUCGGGUUGUCAUGCCAAUGGCACUGCCCGGUAGCUAAAUGCGGAAGAGAUAAGUGCUGAAAGCAUCUAAGCACGAAACUUGCCCCGAGAUGAGUUCUCCCUGAGACUUAGAGUCUCCUGAAGGAACGUUGAAGACGACGACGUUGAUAGGCCGGGUGUGUAAGCGCAGCGAUGCGUUGAGCUAACCGGUACUAAUGAACCGUGAGGCUUAACCUUACAACGCCGAAG
rnacentral:rRNA from 1 species